rnacentral:rRNA from 1 species
UACGUAGGGGGCAAGCGUUGUCCGGAUUUAUUGGGCGUAAAGAGCGUGUAGGCGGUUAUGCAGGUCCGCUGUGAAAACUGGAGGCUUAACCUCCAGACGUCGGUGGAAACCGUAUGACUAGAGUCCGGAAGAGGAGAGUGGAAUUCCUGGUGUGGCGGUGAAAUGCGCAGAUAUCAGGAAGAACACCCGUGGCGAAGGCGGCUCUCUGGGACGGUACUGACGCUGAGACGCGAAAGCGUGGGGAGCGAACAGG